AUGGGAACGCGAAGAACCUUACCUAGACUUGACAUCUCCUGAAUAGUGUAGAGAUACAUGAAGCCCUUCGGGGCGAGGAAGACAGGUGGUGCAUGGUUGUCGUCAGCUCGUGUCGUGAGAUGUUGGGUUAAGUCCCGCAACGAGCGCAACCCUUAUUACUAGUUGCUACCAUUAAGUUGAGCACUCUAGUGAGACUGCCCGGGUUAACCGGGAGGAAGGCGGGGAUGACGUCAAAUCAUCAUGCCCCUUAUGUCUAGGGCAACACACGUGCUACAAUGGUGAGUACAGAUAGAUGCGAUACCGCAAGGUGGAGCCAAACUCUAAAACUCAUCCCAGUUCGGAUUGUAGGCUGCAACUCGCCUACAUGAAGUUGGAGUUGCUAGUAAUCGCGAAUCAGAAUGUCGCGGUGAAUACGUUCCCGGGUCUUGUACACACCG
rnacentral:rRNA from 1 species